rnacentral:rRNA from 1 species
UACGUAGGGCGCAAGCGUUGUCCGGAAUUAUUGGGCGUAAAGAGCUCGUAGGCGGUCUGUUGCGUCCGCUGUGAAAACUCGGGGCUUAACCCCGAGCCUGCAGUGGAUACGGGCAGACUAGAGGUAGGUAGGGGAGAAUGGAAUUCCCGGUGUAGCGGUGAAAUGCGCAGAUAUCGGGAGGAACACCGGUGGCGAAGGCGGGUCU